CAUCUAGCGAUCCGAUGGGGUAUUGUUGCCUUGUCGAGGAGCUUCCCGGAAACGAAAGUCUUUCGGUUCCGGGGUAGUAUGGUUGCAAAGCUGAAACUUAAAGAAAUUGACGGAAUGGCACCACCAGGAGUGGAGCCNGCGGCUUAAUUUGACUCAACACGGGAAAACUCACCCGGCCCGGACACCGUAAGGAUUGACAGAUUGAAAGCUCUUUCUCGAUUUGGUGGUUGGUGGUGCAUGGCCGUUCUUAGUUGGUGGAGCGAUUUGUCUGGUUUAUUCCGAUAACGAGCGAGACUCUAGCCUGCUAAAUAGUGACUAGAUUUUUAUGUCUAGUCUACUUCUUAGAGGGAUAAGCGGUGUUUAGCCGCACGAGAUUGAGCGAUAACAGGUCUGUGAUGCCCUUAGAUGUCCGGGGCUGCACGCGCGCUACAAUGGAAGAAUCAGCUGGCCUAUCCAUUGCCGAAAGGUAUUGGUAAACCGUUGAAACUCUUCCGUGACCGGGAUAGGGAAUUGUAACUAUUUCCCNGAACGAGGAAUUCCUAGUAAGUGUGAGUCAUCAGCUCACGCUGAUACG
rnacentral:rRNA from 1 species